rnacentral:rRNA from 1 species
GUGCCAGCAGCCGCGGUAAUACCGGCAGCCCAAGUGAUGACCGAUCUUAUUGAGCCUAAAGCGUCCGUAGCUGGCUGCGCAAGUCCGUCGGGAAAUCCACUCGCCCAACGAGUGGGCGUCCGACGGAAACUGCACAGCUUGGGACCGGAAGGCUCGAAGGGUACGUUCGGGGUAGGAGUGAAAUCCCAUAAUCCCGCACGGACCACCGAUGGCGAAAGCACUUCGAGAAAACGGAUCCGACAGUGAGGGACGAAAGCCAGGGUCUCCAACCGGAUUAGAUACCGAGAGCC